rnacentral:rRNA from 1 species
GGGGAAUAUUGGGCAAUGGGCGAAAGCCUGACCCAGCAACGCCGCGUGAAGGAAGAAGGCCUUCGGGUUGUAAACUUCUUUUAUGAGGGACGAAGAAAGUGACGGUACCUCAUGAAUAAGCCACGGCUAACUACGUGCCAGCAGCCGCGGUAAUACGUAGGUGGCAAGCGUUAUCCGGAUUUACUGGGUGUAAAGGGCGCGUAGGCGGGAAUGCAAGUCAGAUGUGAAAUCUCCGGGCUCAACCCGGAAGCUGCAUUUGAAACUGUAUUUCUUGAGUGUCGGAGAGGUAGAUGGAAUUCCUAGUGUAGCGGUGAAAUGCGUAGAUAUUAGGAGGAACACCAGUGGCGAAGGCGAUCUACUGGACGAUAACUGACGCUGAGGCGCGAAAGCGUGGGGAGCAAAC